GACGAACGCUGGCGGCGUGCUUAACACAUGCAAGUCGAGCGGAAAGGCCCUUUCGGGGGUACUCGAGCGGCGAACGGGUGAGUAACACGUGAGUAAUCUGCCCUGUGCUUUGGGAUAGCCACCGGAAACGGUGAUUAAUACCGGAUACGACCAACCUACGCAUGUGGUGUUGGUGGAAAGUUUUUCGGCGCAGGAUGUGCUCGCGGCCUAUCAGCUUGUUGGUGGGGUAAUGGCCUACCAAGGCUUCGACGGGUAGCCGGCCUGAGAGGGUGACCGGCCACACGGGGACUGAGACACGGCCCAGACUCCUACGGGAGGCAGCAGUGGGGAAUAUUGGACAAUGGGCGGAAGCCUGAUCCAGCAACGCCGCGUGAGGGAUGACGGCCUUCGGGUUGUAAACCUCUUUCAGCACCGACGAAGCGAGAGUGACGGUAGGUGCAGAAGAAGGACCGGCCAACUACGUGCCAGCAGCCGCAGUAAAAC
rnacentral:rRNA from 1 species